rnacentral:rRNA from 1 species
UGCCUACGGGGGGCAGCAGUGGGGGAUAUUGCACAAUGGAGGAAACUCUGAUGCAGCAACGCCGCGUGAGGGAAGAAGGUCUUCGGAUUGUAAACCUUAGUAGUCAGGGACGAAAGAAAUGACGGUACCUGAAGAGUAAGCUCCGGCUAACUACGUGCCAGCAGCCGCGGUAAUACGUAGGGAGCGAGCGUUGUCCGGAUUUACUGGGUGUAAAGGGUGCGUAGGCGGGACUGCAAGUCAGACGUGAAAUACCGAGGCUUAACUUCGGGGCUGCGUUUGAAACUGUGGUUCUUGAGUGAAGUAGAGGCAGGCGGAAUUCCUAGUGUAGCGGUGAAAUGCGUAGAUAUUAGGAGGAACACCAGUGGCGAAGGCGGCCUGCUGGGCUUUAACUGACGCUGAAGCACGAAAGCAUGGGGAGCAAACAGGAUUAGAUACCCCAGUAGUC